CCAAUGCUGCCAAGAAAAUUCCUCCACCUCAAAUAUUUGGAUAUUAAAAUAUUGAGAUGGACCUUUCCCACGGCCUGUGAUAUUCUCUUGUUCAUUUCUUUCCUUGAUGCGUGUCCUUGCUUGGAGACCUUCAACCUAAAUACACCAAUGUGGCAACGAGAUCACGAUGAUUCGAUCGUUGAAGAUACCUCACAUUUGGGGCGGAUUCCAGGACGCUAUGACAAUCUGAGGCAUGUGAAGCUUACCAGUUUCUAUUCCACAAACCUCUUGGUUCAGCUCACAUGUCAUAUUCUGGAGCAUACACCAUCGCUCGAGUGCCUCACACUGGACAUAACUGAUGGUUGGCCAAGGUGUUCCGACAAAAGAAUUGGCAAAUGCUAUGUGAGCAGGGCUACUCUUGUGGAAGCCCCUAAAACGCUUGAGGCUAUCCGG
rnacentral:rRNA from 1 species